UAGGGGAGGGAAGAAGUGAGGGGAAGGAGGUAUGGGGGAGGAAGAAAGGGCAGGAGACAGGAAGAAGGGGUGAGUAAGAAGAGGGUGGGGAGGAUGAAGUGGAGGUAAGAGGACGUGGGAAGGAAGGGGUGCAGGAGGAGGUGGCAGAGGGAAGAAGUGAAGGACGGAGGGCAUUGGGUUGUUUCACUUUUCUUCGUUUCUGGAUUCCAAGGCCUUUCCGAGCAGCACACAAAAGCAAUUUCUGAUGCCCCUGGGAGAGAGCUGAGAGGAGCUAAAACUGCCCUGAGAAGCUCCCCCAGGACCAAGGCCGACCGUCAGAGCAGAAUCUGGGCCAAUCUCGGCGGUUGUGUUUUUUCUUCAACCCACUUACCUCAGGAGAGCAGGAUUUUUGCUCGGGCACACCCAGCACAGCCGGCAUCCGGGCGGAGGGGGGGAGGGCCCUGCCCCCACGAGGCUGGGUGCACAGCACCCCCACCUCCCCGGGGGCUCCUGCUACCUGCCAAGGCACCUGGGCCUCACAAGGGCCCCGGGAAGCAGCGGUCCACAUCCUCAUGGAAGGGGAGGUCCCGCGAGGGGCGAGCAUCCGCCUCCCAGCUCAGUGAUGGCCGGCGUGGCCUCCAGCUUUGGGCAGACGCACACACCCGAGCCGAUGCGCACCAACCUUGGAGAUGGGUCAAGGCCCUGGGAACCAACUACGCUCCGGUCCCUGGAGGCCUCCUCACCCACUUUCCCCCGGGCAGGCUGGCGGGGCUGCAGGACUGGGCCCGUCUCUGCUGUGUGGGGCAGGCCGAGGGGUCUGCUUUCAACUCCUUUCACGCUUCCUUCCUUAAAGACAGAGGUAGUUCCUGGGGCACCCGGGUGGUUCAGUCGUCGGGCGGCUGCCUCUGGGUCAGGUCAUGAUCCAGGGUCCUGGGAUCGAGUCCCACACCGGGCUCCAGUCCCGAAGCCUGCCUCUCUUCCAGUGCCUCUCAGGAAUAAAUAAAUACAAUCUAAAAAAAUAAAAAAGAUU
rnacentral:lncRNA from 1 species